UUCUUUUUUUUCUCUUCUCAUUUCCUUUUCUUUCCUUCUUUCUUUCUUUUUUCUUCUCUUUUCCUUUUCUUCUUCUUCUUUCUUUCUUUUUUUCUCUUCUCCUUUCCUUUUCUUUCCUUCUUUUUCUUUCUUUCCUCUCAUUUCUUUCUUUCCCUCUCCUUCUGCCCCCCCACCACCGACCCCCCUAUUAUUAAGUGGUGCCGCCAAUGGUAUUGGCACCAUUGGUGCAGCCAAUGGUUUUGGCACCUUU
rnacentral:lncRNA from 1 species